CCUACGGGUGGCAGCAGUGGGGAAUAUUGCACAAUGGGGGAAACCCUGAUGCAGCGACGCCGCGUGAGUGAUGAAGUAUUUCGGGAUGUAAAGCUCUAUCAGUAGGGAAGAAGCAAGACGGUACCUGACUAAGAAGCCCCGGCUAACUACGUGCCAGCAGCCGCGGUAAUACGUAGGGGGCAAGCGUUAUCCGGAUUUACUGGGUGUAAAGGGAGCGUAGACGGUAUGGCAAGUCUGAAGUGAAAGCCUAGGGCUUAACCCUGGGACUGCUUUGGAAACUGUUAGACUAGAGUGCUGGAGAGGUAAGUGGAAUUCCUAGUGUAGCGGUGAAAUGCGUAGAUAUUAGGAAGAACACCAGUGGCGAAGGCGGCUUACUGGACAGUAACUGACGUUGAGGCUCGAAAGCGUGGGGAGCAAACAGGAUUAGAUACCCUAGUAGUC
rnacentral:rRNA from 1 species